UUUGUAUCAUAAACAAUAGCCGACAUAUAUGAGCUUAUCAACCCUACAUUUGUAACACAGAUAUAGCAACUACACACCUUGAAAACACGUAAAAGCUGUGAUAAGAUUAUGAAGUGUAUAAAGGAGUUUCACAAAGGACCUAGUUCUAGUACCAACAGCUUGGCACCAUGGCGAGAAUAGCAAUUGCACUUGUGUUAAUGAUGUCAUCAAUGGCAAGUUCUUUAUCGACAGAAAACAUAUUGGUGAAGACGAACAAGGUCAUGCAAGAAAUUGAUGAUAUGUUUGUCGGGUUCACGUUGGACACGUACUUACUUCGGGUUGGAUGGGGAAAAUUCAACUUCAGCUCCCCGAAAGCCUUGAACCUGAUGAAAGAAAUGGCUCCCUGUUAUAUUCGAGUUGGGGGAUCACUAGCAGAGAGCCUAGUGUUUGACCCUCAUGCCGGUCCAGUAACGCACGUGCCUCCCCUUGGACAACCAUUUACACUUACACCUACGCGGUGGAAAGAGCUCAACGAAUUUAUACAGAAUGCUGGACUGAAGUUGAUAUUUGCCUUCAAUGCCCUUCUACGGAACAAUAACCUGUAGGAUCCUACGAAUGCCGAGCUGCUGAUGACCUACUCGUCUCAGAAGCAUUACGACAUCGCCGGCUGGGAGCUUGGAAAUGAACCGGACCUGUAUGUACGGAAUGGACGGAUAAAUGUCACGGGGGCAAUGAUGGGCGCUGAUUUCACGGAACUCCGACAGAUUCUGGACAAAUCCCCUUAUAAAUCCUUAUUGGUCUCCUUAUUGGUCCAGACAUGACCCCCCUUGGCGGAUACCGGGACCCAAUGAUGCGAGAGUUCCUCAGCCAUGGUGGAGCUUCAGCUGUUGAUGUCCUCACAAUUCAUCACUACUAUUUCAACGGCCAUACUGCCCAUGAGGGGACUUCCUGUCCCUGUGGUGGCUCAAUAAGCUGGCUUC